CUGAGCAGCAGGGCAAACCUGCUUGGGAGGGAAGUGAUCAUUCAGUGAAGUCCUCUGGCUGCUUUCAGCCAUCCUCUCUGCUCCAGUGACAGCAGCACUUUUUCUGCAGGGGAGAAACCUGGAGGCUAUUCCCAGGGUGCCCGACACCUCCAAGAAGAUGAGAGCAACUGCAGAAGGAGAUAAAUGAGGCUGUUGCUCUGUAAUCUCACGGGGACAAAGACAAGGUGACUCACUGCUCAGAAGGAAACUUUGGAUGAGGUCUCUCGCCUGCCACCAUUGUGCCCUGCCACCCUGGGUAAUUCUAGCACGAAACCAAGGACCAGCCAAGCCACAUGUGUCAUUAGAAGACACACACGGCCAUGGAGCAAACUGAACAGAACCCAAACGCUACUGUCAACCUCAACUUUGCUGCAAUCUACAAUCUCUAUGACGGGGAUUUAACCUCCUUGCGAAACUUCUCCUUCCCUUUCAAUUUCAGUUACAGUGAUUAUGACCUGCCGCUGGACAGUGAAGAUGACAUGACCAAAACCCGCACCUUCUUUGCAGCCAAGAUUGUCAUCGGGGUGGCUCUGGUUGGCAUCAUGCUGGUCUGUGGCAUUGGCAACUUCAUCUUCAUUGCUGCUCUCGCCCGCUACAAGAAGCUGCGAAAUCUCACCAACCUGCUGAUUGCCAACCUGGCCAUCUCAGACUUCAUUGUGGCCAUUGUGUGCUGCCCCUUCGAGAUGGACUACUACGUGGUGCGGCAGCUCUCCUGGGAGCACGGCCACGUCCUCUGUGCCUCAGUCAACUACCUGCGGACCGUCUCCCUCUAUGUUUCUACCAAUGCUCUCCUGGCUAUAGCUGUUGACAGGUAUCUGGCCAUUGUUCACCCACUGAAACCACGCAUGAAUUAUCAAACAGCAACCUUCCUAAUCGCCUUGGUCUGGAUUGUCUCCAUACUUGUAGCUAUUCCAUCUGCAUAUUUUGCUACUGAAACGGUGUUAUUUAUAGUGAAAAACCAGGAGAAAAUAUUCUGUGGACAGAUUUGGCCAGUUGACCAGCAGAUGUACUACAAAUCAUACUUCCUCUUUAUCUUUGGCAUUGAAUUUGUUACACCUGUCAUUACGAUGACCUUGUGUUACGCCAGGAUAUCGCGGGAACUCUGGUUUAAAACCGUACCAGGAUUUCAGACAGAACAGAUCAGAAAGAGGCUUCGAUGCAGAAGAAAAACUGUUAUGGUACUGAUGUGCAUCCUGACUGCCUACGUUCUCUGCUGGGCACCCUUCUACGGCUUCACAAUUGUCCGUGACUUUUUCCCCACCAUCUUCGUGAAAGAGAAGCAUUAUCUUACUGCUUUUUAUAUAGUUGAAUGCAUUGCUAUGAGUAACAGCAUGAUAAACACCAUGUGUUUUGUAACUGUAAAAAAUAACACCAUGAAGUAUUUCAAGAAGAUCAUGUUACUGAGAUGGAGAUCGACAUAUAAUGGAAGCAAAUCUAGCACUGAUUUCGACCUGAGAACAAGUGCAAUGCCAGUCACAGAGGAGGUAGACUGCAUAAAACUGAAAUAAAUUUUCUGCAGUUUGAAUCUCACAUAUUUCGGAGAGGGGCUAAAGAGGAAAUAAUGCCUUCUCAGAAGCCUCUCCCUUGUCUGUGGGAAUACCCACCAUUGGUGAGAGACCUCUAAAAGCAGCCUACUAUGCGUUUCCACCAGAACUCUUUUCACUGGACUGCUGUAUAACCCCAUAACUCAGACUGAUGCUGUGCUUCAGUUCACCCAUCUGUAAAUCUGGGAGGCUAUGGCCAACUUCUGCUGCCUUGAUUCGCUGAGCUCUUCAAAGAAUCAAUCACAAAAUCACAGAGGUGGAGAACAGCAACUCCAGAUUGUCUAGUCCACCCCUCUGCUCAAGCAGGGUCAGCUAGAAGAGGUUGCCCAGGAUUGAGCCCAGCUGGGCUUUGACUGACUCCAGGGAUGGAGACUCCACAGCCUCCCUGGACCACCUGUGCCAGUGUUCAACAGU